UUUAUUCUCAAGCUUUAAAAGUAUGAGAGGAGCGCGGUUUCCUUUAGCCAACUUGGCCAACUCCGAAAAACCCCGCCAGCAAGAUUUCACGGAGGCAAGAAACAAGAUCUGGAGAUCUCGCGAGAACACAACUCAAUCAUCUCCAACAUCCAGCAAACUAAACGGGCGUGGGAGUUUUGUUGAACGGGUUGCUCUGGAGAACCUCUUUCAUUCCAAGAGAGAGUUUCUGAACACCUUCUCCCGUACCGUCCAUUGUCGUCUGCACAGUAUAUCCGCCUCAGUUCCUCGUCGUCUGCACAAGAACUCUGAGACACAGUUUCAUCAUCGUUAUUUAUAGAAUUUCCACCCGGUUCGAAACGCCCUGACUCGGAAAAAGUUUUCCGUACAAACGGAGUACGUUCGUCGUCUUCACUUAUCCUCAGAGAAGUGCUGUCGUCUGCAAAUUCCUCGCCAUCGCUUCCAACGGAGUCGUCCGAUACUCGCAACCUCGGUAUGUCGCAGACUCGAUUGUCGGCUGCAUUGAAUGGCUUCGUUGGAUCGGACGGACUCCUGUUGUAUAGAGGUUUGGGGGACGACAAGGAGGUGUCUGGCUGGGACGUGGGCCUCUCUCGUUCUGUAGAGACACCAGAAAGUCGAGUACGAGAAUUUCUGUUUGAUGGAGGGUUCCUUAGAAAGUCUUUGUCCGGCGGAUUCAGGUACGAGUUCGGCCAGCCGGGAUUUGCGUUUGGAUAUGGCGGGUAUAGACAUCCGUCAUCCGUCUGUGUUUCCUUAAAAAAAAGAACAAUUAAAAAUUAUGAUAUGAAAUAUAUUUAUAGGGAAAAGACAGUUCAAAAUAUGGAAUGAUUUCAAUGUAGUGAGAAUUUCUAAAUUCCUAAUUCUUACCAUAUUAACUGUGUUCUGCCGUUGUAGCUUUCGUCCAUUUUGUUGUGGAUCUACUGUGUUAUAGACUGAAGUUGUGGUUGUGCCGUUUAAUUGCUUCUUUUUAGCAUCUCGUUUUUUCAAGUAUGCCAUGCGUCUAUUCCUUUUAAAAAGUAACCAAGAAUUAUUACUUUAGUAUUUUCCACAUAGAGUAGCAAAACUGCACGCAAAUGCAUAAUUUACAUUCGUUAACAGUGUAAUUUCUUCACAGCGAGUUGAAUUUGGAGUACAGGUAAUGAACACAAAUAAUAAAGUUUAACGACUUACUUUGCAAGGAAAUAGGAUGCGAUGCAAAAACAAACAAAUAUCAAAAUUCCAAUAACAAUGCCAAUAAUGGUCAGGGUUCGAUCCCGCUCAGGAUCAGGGGUUUUCCCAGGUGCUAUAAAUAGACACAAUAAACCAAUAAAAAAUCUACUUUCUGUAGCAAAGUUUACACAACAUUUACAAAAAUUAUCGUUUCCAAAUAAAAAGAUUGUCAUAAAGAUUAGCGCUAAAAGGUUUGAAAUAUUCUUGUCUCCGACCAAUGCAGAAAUACAGGCUUUACAGCUUUAUGGGUCCGGGUGUUAAGAAUAUUUGCAGAUAAUUUUCUAUCUUUUUAUUUCUACAGAGAAAACGAUAUCAGCCUUGUUUAAGAGAAUAGAGUUUCCUGCCUCUCAAUCACUUUGCAAACAUAGCCAUAUGUCCGUUCUCUAGAAAAAUCAGAUAUUGGAAACUUCUUGUUCUAGAAUUAUACAUUUUGGUACGAAAAUCUACGCAAAUUCUCUCUUCGUGAAAUGAUUUACUUUACAGGAGUUUUUAUCAUUUGCUUUUUGUCUUUAUUUUGGUAUCAAUAAAAUACAUGACUACGGUAAUUGC
rnacentral:sRNA from 1 species